GACGAACGCUGGCGGCGUGCUUAAGACAUGCAAGUCGUACGAGAAAGUCUCUUCGGAGAUGAGUAAAGUGGCGCACGGGUGAGUAACGCGUGGGUAAUCUGCCCUUAGGUUUGGGAUAACCCCGGGAAACCGGAGCUAAUACCGAAUGAGACCACGAUGACUUCGGUCGAUGUGGGAAAAGGUGGCCUCUUCUUGAAAGCUAUCGCCAAAGGAUGAGCCCGCGUUUGAUUAGCUAGUUGGUGAGGUAAUGGCUCACCAAGGCGACGAUCAAUAGCUGGUCUGAGAGGAUGAUCAGCCACACUGGAACUGAGAUACGGUCCAGGCUCCUACGGGAGGCAGCAGUCAGGAAUAUUGGGCAAUGGGCGAAAGCCUGACCCAGCAACGCCGCGUGAAGGAUGAAGGCCUUCGGGUCGUAAACUUCUGUCGAGAGGGAAGAAUGCGUACGGGUGAAUAAUCCGUGCGUUUGACGGUACCUCCAAAGGAAGCACCGGCUAACUCCGUGCCAGCAGCCGCCGUAACAC
rnacentral:rRNA from 1 species